GAUGAACGCUGGCGGCGUGCCUAAUACAUGCAAGUCGAGCGAACGGACGAGAAGCUUGCUUCUCUGAUGUUAGCGGCGGACGGGUGAGUAACACGUGGAUAACCUACCUAUAAGACUGGGAUAACUUCGGGAAACCGUAGCUAAUACCUGAUAAUAUUUUGAACCGCAUGGUUCAAAAGUGAAAGACGGUCUUGCUGUCACUUAUAGAUGGAUCCGCGCUGCAUUAGCUAGUUGGUAAGGUAACGGCUUACCAAGGCAACGAUGCAUAGCCGACCUGAGAGGGUGAUCGGCCACACUGGAACUGAGACACGGUCCAGACUCCUACGGGAGGCAGCAGUAGGGAAUCUUCCGCAAUGGGCGAAAGCCUGACGGAGCAACGCCGCGUGAGUGAUGAAGGUCUUCGGAUCGUAAAACUCUGUUAUUAGGGAAGAACAUAUGUGUAAGUAACUGUGCACAUCUUGACGGUACCUAAUCAGAAAGCAACGGCUAACUACGUG
rnacentral:rRNA from 1 species